UAGACGCUACGGACUUAAAUAAUUUGAGCGAAAAUCCGUUGGCUUUAUUGACCGUGAGGGUUCAAGUCCC
rnacentral:tRNA from 1 species